AUUGAACGCUGGCGGCAGGCCUAACACAUGCAAGUCGAGCGGAUGAAGGGAGCUUGCUCCUGGAUUCAGCGGCGGACGGGUGAGUAAUGCCUAGGAAUCUGCCUGGUAGUGGGGGAUAACGUCCGGAAACGGGCGCUAAUACCGCAUACGUCCUGAGGGAGAAAGUGGGGGAUCUUCGGACCUCACGCUAUCAGAUGAGCCUAGGUCGGAUUAGCUAGUUGGUGGGGUAAAGGCCUACCAAGGCGACGAUCCGUAACUGGUCUGAGAGGAUGAUCAGUCACACUGGAACUGAGACACGGUCCAGACUCCUACGGGAGGCAGCAGUGGGGAAUAUUGGACAAUGGGCGAAAGCCUGAUCCAGCCAUGCCGCAUGUGUGAAGAAGGUCUUCGGAUUGUAAAGCACUUUAAGUUGGGAGGAAGGGCAGUAAGUUAAUACCUUGCUGUUUUGACCUUACCAACAGAAUAAGCACCGGCUAACUUCGUG
rnacentral:rRNA from 1 species